GACGAACGCUGGCGGCGUGCCUAAUACAUGCAAGUAGAACGCUGAAGAGAGGAGCUUGCUCUUCUUGGAUGAGUUGCGAACGGGUGAGUAACGCGUAGGUAACCUGCCUUGUAGCGGGGGAUAACUAUUGGAAACGAUAGCUAAUACCGCAUAACAAUGGAUGACACAUGUCAUUUAUUUGAAAGGGGCAAUUGCUCCACUACAAGAUGGACCUGCGUUGUAUUAGCUAGUAGGUGAGGUAAUGGCUCACCUAGGCGACGAUAAAUAGCCGACCUGAGAGGGUGAUCGGCCACACUGGGACUGAGACACGGCCCAGACUCCUACGGGAGGCAGCAGUAGGGAAUCUUCGGCAAUGGGGGCAACCCUGACCGAGCAACGCCGCGUGAGUGAAGAAGGUUUUCGGAUCGUAAAGCUCUGUUGUAAGUCAAGAACGGGUGUGAGAGUGGAAAGUUCACACUGUGACGGUAGCUUACCAGAAAGGGACGGCUAACUACGU
rnacentral:rRNA from 1 species